rnacentral:tRNA from 1 species
GGAUUUAGCUCAGUGGUAGAGCGCUUGCCUAGGAAGCGCAAGGCCCUGGGUUCGGUCCCCAGCUCCG